GAAAUUAGAGCCAGUUCCUCAAGUCUCUGAGUCUGUAUCCUGGGAAACAGUGAUCAGGCUCUGCCAGUGUGCAUAUGAAAGCAUAAAGAACAACUAAAGGCCCAGUGGUUGCUCCUUAUAAUAUUAAUAAGUCUGUGGACCUCAUCCAAACACUGCCUUCUCUUCCGGGCCUGAAGGUUUCUUUCAGUGGUCAUUGAAAGACAUGAGAGCUAAUUAAGGACAAAAUCCCCCAAAAGUUUCUCCUGCAGCAAAGACCAAAAUUACAGCCUGGAAAAUUGACAUUAAAGAAGAGGAGGAAGGGUUGGGAUGUUGGUUCAUAGAUUCUGUGGAUCAGUGUGAUGCACAAAAACUUCCAAUGUUGAU